CCUAAACUGGUUUGGGUGGGUUUGCUGUCACUCGCAAUUGAAAAUAAAACAUUUCUGUCUCAUCGGGUGUCUUCUCUUUGCCUGGCUGUAACCGCUGCCACCCUAACCACUGCUGGCCUGGGAGGAAGAAAACUGGGGGUGACAUCAAGGAAGGGGAUAAACGAGGCUGCAAACCAGCCCCUGGAAUGCAGUCCGGGGACACCAGCAACCACGGCCCAGCCAACGCCUCACUCGCACGGUGACAGGAAGAGAUCAUCAGAGCCAUAACCAUGACAGUUUGGUUUUCUCCAAAGGUGUCAACUUUCCUCAAGUUUCCCAAAGCCCUGGGCAUGAUGCCAGUAGAUCAUUUUUGAUUUCUUUUGCAAGCUCCCAAUUUCAUCCCCGCAGGUGUCUAAGAAAAAGCAUUAUUAAAAUGCUCGCAGUAAAGAGGAGCCCAGGAUAAAGGAUCCCAGCUCUAAAUUUUUCCUCCACAUAAAGGAAGUCAUUUUAAGUCUAAUCAGUUAUGAAUUUAGAAAGUCACAGAUUCUAAUACCAAAAACCUGUGUGUGUGAGAGCACGUUUGAACAUAUGCCUGCACACGUGUCCAUGUGUGUGGUGCAUCUGAAUAGAAAAAAAAAGAGAGACCUUAUUAUUAUCACAAUUUUUCAAUUAAAAAUUUAAAAAUCUUUUAAUUUAAAAAUUUUUUGAAAAAAUGAGACCUUGAACAGCCAGAGUUAUGCUUCAUCUCUUCUCAGACUCGAGGGCACCAGUUAUCACUUUGCUUUCUCCCCUUUUUCAUCAGGAGCUGCUAAGACACAUAAGCCCCUUCCACUGAGAAGAAGGGUGUGUCACUGCGCUUUUGGAGGAACAGAUGAAAAGAAUCUGCUUUUCUUGUCCUCUUUUUUUAAGGAAGGAUCGGCUGACCGACUAGCUCCACCUCUGCUCUACCCCCGGACACACACACACACACACACACACACACACACACACACUCUCUCUCUCUCUCUCUCUCACACACUUGGGCUGGAAACAACACACUUCACCCAAAGACUAGGGAGAGGUAUUACAAAAAGACGGGUGAGCCGGGCCAGCGAUACUCUGUCAGUCACCUCUCUUCUAACCAGACCGGGAGCACAUGCAGCAUUCAUGGUUCAGAACGUGUUUUCUGGACUUCCUGUCAUGGCACAGCAGAACCGAAUCGGACUAGGAACCAUGACGUGGCAGGUUCGAUCCCUGGCCUCGACAGCGGGUUAAGGAUCCAGCAUUGCCGUGAGCUGUGGUGUAGGUCACAGACGUGGCUCAGAUCUGGCGAUGCUGUGGCUGUGGUGUAGGUCUGUGGCUACAGCUCCAAUUGACCCCUAGCCUGGGAACGUCCAUGUGCCACGGAGAAUGUAGGCAAAGCCCUACGCAUGUCCCUCGGGCGUAUGAUAAACACUCCAUUUCCCUGCUACUGAGAAGACAAGCCAGUAAGGGACACCGACGUGCACUGACAGGUGGAAUCGACCGCCGAGAUUUCUCAGGCCGGCGCAAGGCAUUCCACGCCAUACGGCUGUGGUCACUCCAGGGCAAAACCUUUGCCUGGUGCUUUGGCUCCGCGGGGGGCAUCCGGGCAGCGGCGGCACUGGGCUUGGAAGGAGCCGAACGCACACCUCAACGCUCUGUCCAGAUGGAGUUAACAGGAGCCUUGGAGAGGGGGGUGGAGAGAACAGAGAUGUGUUCAUCUGUGAAAUUAAAAGUGGUGCAGCAUGACACACGGCAUUACGUGGUGGGGCUCGGCGAAAGCCAUAAUUAGGCUGAAUAUGACUCUGAACACGCUCAUAAUCAAACAAAAGCAAUUCUACUGAAUGAGGAGAGCGGAGUCUCUUGGGAGGAGAGAAGAGGCAAAAGGCUGAGAAAGACUAGGAACCCGGCUCAGUACACGGAGGGCGGGCGGAGACCCACCCCAAGGAAGGCCCCGGGGCCCUGUAUUCCUUUGGUACCAUUCUAAAAACUACCAUCUGCUCAGAACAACUCAUCCGUUACCAUCUCACAGGGGCCACAGGUCCCAAGUCCAGGCACGUGGCUUGGGUGUGCUCUCUGCUUGGGGUCUCGCAGGGCCAAAGUGUCACCUGGCUCAGACAUCAGCCUUCUUGGUUCUUACCUGGGGACUUCGGGGAAGAAUCUGCCCCCACGCCUGCUCAGGUUAUUGGCAGAACCAAGGGGGGUCCCUAUGUCCUUCCAGAUGUCGGCCAGACCUUGUUCUCAGCUUCUAGAAACUGUUCAUAUUUCGUGCCACACGUUCCCCCAUCUUCAGAGUCAGCAAGAGAGCGUCAAAUCCUUCUCAAGCCAGUCAUCCCCCUGCCUGCCCUUCUGCCGUCUCUGAUUCCCUCCUCCACCUCCUCUUCCGCUCUGAAGGGCCCCUGUGAUAAUAUCAGCCCGGCCGCAAAAAAUCCAGACCCAUCUCCCAAUUUUAAUGACUUCAGUCACAUAUGCAAAGGCCCUUUGUCAUGCAGCUAACCUAAGGUGGGAGUAAAAUAAAGGGGGGGGGGGGAAGGUCACGGGGCCAAAGGUCAAAGGUCUAAAAGUGGCUCCACUGACAAAUGGGUGCUGGACCCUAUCCCGGAGCUGGAGUGCACGUUUUCUGCUGCUGGGAAGGACGAUGCAUUGGAGAGGUCAUAAGGGAGCCACACCACGGUGGAAACUUCUAAAGGGAGACAGACAGACUCACGAGUUUCCUGCAGAGUAACAGUGAGGACAGCUGAGCUACCGCUGCCACCCUGUGUGGACAGACCUGCUGCUGGCCAGGUACGGGGCAGAACCCUGCAUUUCUUUUUUUUUUUUUUUUUUUCCUUUUUAUGGCCAUACCUGUGGCAUAUGGAAGUUCCCAGGCUAGGGGUUGAAUCAGAGAUAGAGCUGUUGGCCUACGCCACAGCCACCGCAAUGCCAAAUCUGAGCCGAGUCUGCAACCUACACCGCAGCUCACAGCAAAGCAGAUCCUUAACCCACUGAGCGAAGCCAGGGAUGGAACCCGCAUCCUCAUGGAUACUCGUUGGGUUCAUCACCGCCGUGCCACAAUGGGAACUCC
rnacentral:lncRNA from 1 species